GGAGGGAUGGCAGAGCGGUUGAAUGCACCGGUCUUGAAAACCGGCGGGUGGCGACACCUCGUGGGUUCGAAUCCCACUCCCUCCG
rnacentral:tRNA from 1 species